UGCACAUCCAUGUGCCAGUGUUUGAAGGCCUGCCUCCGCCCUCUUAUGUGUCCACCCGGACGGGGCUGCUGGGUCAGGCAGUACCUCACUGCUGCACUCUUCAGAAUUGCCCCCUUCCAUUCCUCAGCAGCUGUCCUGCUACUGACGCGCAGGGUCCCUGUUCUUCCCCAAUCUUGCCAACACUUGCUCUUUUCCCUUCCUUUAAAUCACGGCCACUCUGCAGAGGUGAAGUGGUGCCCCUGUGUGGCUCCUCUGCCCAUGGUGCCCGAUGACACUGAACCUCCCUGUCUACCCAAGUCCUUCCCGUUCUUAAAUCAGCUUGCUCUUCUCGUUUGCCACCAAGUUGUGUGAGGUUUUUAUAUGUUCUGGAUACUACAUCUUUACUUAUCCACUUAUUUACUUUUCCAUGCUGGGGUUGAACCAGGGCCCCCACAUGUGCCUGGCCAGUGCUCUGCCUUCCUGGUCCAAGUUUCUUGAUACUGUCCUUUGAUGUACAAAGAUAUUAAUUUUGAUGAAGUUGAAUUUCAGCCCUUUUUCCUUACGAUUUAAGGAUCCACUGCUAAAACCAAAGUCUUAUAGGUUUACCCCUAUGUUUUCUUAUCUUUAGGAUUCAAUCGAUUUUGUAUAUGGUAUGAGGUUGGGGUGCACUGUUUUGGGGUUGAAUCCAGGGCCUGGUGCACGCUGAGAGUGAGCACUCUCCCACUGAACUCUCC
rnacentral:lncRNA from 1 species